rnacentral:tRNA from 1 species
UGCAGUGUAGUUCAGUGGUAGAACACUUGCCUAGGACUUCAAGGCUCUGGGUUCCAUGCCCAGCACUGCCA